rnacentral:rRNA from 1 species
CGUAGGUGGCAAGCGUUAUCCGGAAUUACUGGGCGUAAAGCGCACGCAGGUGGUUUGCUAAGUUUGACGUGAAAGCGCCUGGCUUAACUGGGCGAGGUCGUUGGAGACUGGCAGACUAGAGGUGAGGAGAGGGGUGUAGAAUUCCCGGUGUAGUGGUGGAAUGCGUAGAUAUCGGGAGGAAUACCAGUGGCGAAAGCGGCACCCUGGCCUUGGCCUGACGCUCAUGUGCGAAAGCGUGGGGUAGCAAACGGGAUU